rnacentral:rRNA from 1 species
GACGAACGCUGGCGGCGUGCUUAACACAUGCAAGUCGAACGAAGUGGCGAACGGGUGAGUAAUACGUGGGUAACCUGCACUCCUUGUUGGGCUAAGCCUUGGAAAAGAGGACUAAUACCGAAUAAAGGGGGAUGGGCUCGGGGCCUAUCAGCUUGUGUGUGGGGUGCUGGCCUACCAAGGUGGGGACGGGUAGCCGGCCUGAGAGGGUGACCGGCAACAUUGGUACUGGGAUGCGGCCCAGGCUCCGACGGGAGGCAGUAGUGGGGGAUAGUGCACAAUGGGUGAAAGCCGGACGCAGCGACGCCGCGGGGGGGAGGAAGGCUUGCGGGUUGUAAACCUCUUUCGCGAGCGAACGGGUAGGUGGGGAAGUAGCGCCGGCUAACUACGGGCCAGCGGCGGCGGUAAGUC